rnacentral:lncRNA from 1 species
UUUUUCAUAAGAAAAUAUUAAAUUUUGAUUAUAAAUAUACUAUCUGUGAUUAAUUAUUUUCCAUAAUUUUAGUUAGUAAUACUUUAACAAAUGUCUUUAAAUGAAAAUUGAUUCUUUUUUUGAAACAAAUAAUUUUUUGAAACAUCUAUUUUUAUAACGGAGAGGGAGUACUGAUUUAAACUACUAAAUUGUUGUGUACUUUCUUUCCCUUAGUUUGAGAUAUUCUGUCUACGGAAUCAUGAACAUCAUCUUUAACAAAAGGUUUAGUUCCAAUUUAAAUAUUAGUUUAUCUAUGUUAAUUAGUGUAGAGGUAGUUAAGGGGUGAUUAGAGUUAACCUUCUUCCUCGUGUAUUUUCUCCAUGCUCUUAUAAAAGCUGAAGUGAGGAACUUUCUCGAUCUUCUCUCUCCGACAAAGCUCUCUUGUCUUUUCGGACUCAUCACCCAUGACGAGCAAGAAGUCGACGUCGUUACAU